UGGGACUUGCUUGAGACUUGAAGGUUAAAACUUGAGACUUGCUUAAGACAAGCAAAUGUGUGACUUGACAGAUACCUGACUGAGGUUCUCUGGUCUCCGUCCAAUCAUCACUGUCAUCAGUCUCAGGUUGUAAAUGUGUAUCUGGAUCUGAGUUCCUGGCUGGUUCUGGUCCUCCACAGUCCUCUCCCUCUGCUUCUGUUUCCAUCUGUUCAGUGUGUCUUUGAUGAAGCUGUGAGGACUGAGGUUUCUCUUCAUCAUCUUCACUCUUCACAGGGACAGGAGUGAAUGUGAACUUGAUGAUAUCAUCCUCCUCCAGCCCUUGAAGCUGCUCUCCCUCCUGACUGAUCCAGAGU